GAUGAACGCUGGCGGCGUGCCUAAUACAUGCAAGUCGAGCGAACAGACGAGGAGCUUGCUCCUCUGACGUUAGCGGCGGACGGGUGAGUAACACGUGGAUAACCUACCUAUAAGACUGGGAUAACUUCGGGAAACCGGAGCUAAUACCGGAUAAUAUAUUGAACCGCAUGGUUCAAUAGUGAAAGACGGUUUUGCUGUCACUUAUAGAUGGAUCCGCGCCGCAUUAGCUAGUUGGUAAGGUAACGGCUUACCAAGGCAACGAUGCGUAGCCGACCUGAGAGGGGGAUCGGCCACACUGGAACUGAGACACGGGCCAGACUCCUACGGGAGGCAGCAGUAGGGAAUCUUCCGCAAUGGGCGAAAGCUUGACGGAGCAACGCCGCGUGAGUGAUGAAGGUCUUCGGAUCGUAAAACUCUGUUAUUAGGGAAGAACAAAUGUGUAAGUAACUAUGCACGUCUUGACGGUACCUAAUCAGAAAGCCACGGCUAACUACGU
rnacentral:rRNA from 1 species